rnacentral:rRNA from 1 species
UACGUAGGGUGCGAGCGUUGCCCGGAUUUAUUGGGCGUAAAGGGCGCGUAGGCGGCUCUGCACGUCCGUUGUGAAAUCGCCCGGCUCAACUGGGCGGGUCAGCGGAUACGGCGGAGCUUGAGCAAGCUAGGGGGCAAUGGAAUUCCCGGUGUAGUGGUGGAAUGCGUAGAUAUCGGAGGACACCAGUGGCGAAGGCGGUUGCCUGGGGCUUACCGUGACGCUCAGGUGCGAAAGCUAGGGGAGCGAACGAGG